UACGUAGGGUGCAAGCGUUAUUCGGAUUUACUGGGCGUAAAGGGAGUGUAGGCGGAUUUGUAAGUUAGAAGUGAAAUUUAGCGGCCUAACCGCGAACGUGCUUUUAAUACUGCAUAUCUUGAGUAUUGGAGAGGUAGAUGGAAUUCCGAGUGUAGCGGUGGAAUGCGUAGAUAUUCGGAAGAACACCAGUUGCGAAGGCGGUCUACUGGCCAAAUACUGACGCUGAUGCUCGAAAGCGUGGGGAGCGAACAGG
rnacentral:rRNA from 1 species